AUCAAAAACAUGUCCUUUUGAGUAAAAUUUAAGGUCUGGUCUGCUCAAUGAUAUUUUAAUAGCUGCAGAAUUUUUACUGUACUAAGGUAGCAUAAUAAAUUGUUUAUUAAUUGUAAACUUGAAUGAAUGAUCCGUUAAAAUACUAACUGUUUCACAAUAAUUAAAUUAAAUUUAAUUUUUAAGUUAAAAAGCUUAAAUUAAAAUAAGGGACGAGAAGACCCUAUAGAUUUUUAUAAUUAAAUUAUUUUAAGAGUUUUAAAUUUUUUAAAUUUAAUUUAAUUAUUUAGAUGGGGGGUUUUUAAAAUAAAAAAUUUUUAAAAAUUAUAGAACGAAUAUAUUUGAUUAAGUGAAUAAAAAUUAUUUAUAUUAAAAGAAAAUACCUUAGGGAUAACAGCGUAAUAAUUUUUUGAAGAUCUUAUUUGAGGGAUUGAUUGCGACCUCGAUGUUG
rnacentral:rRNA from 1 species